rnacentral:lncRNA from 1 species
CGUUUCGGGAUGCCUUGUCUAGAGAAGAGGACAGCCCUGGGAGUUCGUGGUUUGUUGUAGAUCAAAGUAGUGUGAGUCGUAGUAAUUCAGGAGGUGUUGUGGCUAAUUCUCCUAAUGAAUUUUCUACACCGACUGGUUUGGUUCAAGCUCUCUGCGACUUACCUCGCCUGGAUUUUAAUGCUGGAAUUUUAUCCCCGAAUAGUGGAUUAAAGGAGGAAGCGGAUAGAACGGGACCAGGCCGCCUGCCUGCUGUCCCGGUUACUGUCCCAAUUCAGCAUGUUUUAUCUGCUGCAGCGGCUGCUUGUGAUGAGACGGAGGUUGUAAUUUUGGCUGGGCGGGAAUGUGUGGCCUACACGGCCAGGCCUGGAAGUUGUAGCCCUUGCUUGGAGGAGGAAUGCAGCUGCAAAUCUAGGUCGAUGCAGGUUGGUGGAGCUGGUCCAGG